rnacentral:lncRNA from 1 species
AUGGUUUCAUCAAUGCCACUUGUGAAAAAAAUAAUUGUUAGACUGCCCACUUCUGAAAGAAGGAGCGUUGUUCCAGUGCCUUUUCAUUGUUCACCUGUCCUACCGUAUCUGGAAUGUUAUGUGAAAGAUAAACAGCUGGGACCAUCCCAAAGGGCAAGCCAUGCACGCAACUUUAGUCAUGUAUCUCUCUGCAAAGCAUCAAAUUAAAUGCACGCUUUUGUCAUGUCAACGGUUUUCGUUUUGUGAGAUUCCUUUGAACGUAUUAGAUCCGUUUUACUUACGAUGGUGAAAAGUAGAGUGUUGUGUUCUUUUUUGCCAUUUGUUUAAAGGACAAAAUGACGAAUACCUUCCAUUGUGUAUAUAAUGGCUUAGAAAUGAAAAUCAAUUUUCAACAUCACCCACGAAGGCAACACGACACUAAUUAUCAUUGUCUUAAGCCCUUGAAAAUCUCAGGGUAGUAUUACUGAUAAAAAGAGAAAAGCAACUGAUUUUUCAUUGUUGAAUAAACUGAUAAUAAAAUGUAUGUUUCACAGUACAUCACAUAUGAAUUUAGCCUAAAUGAUUUGGGUUUUAUUUUCAAUAGUUAUUUCACAACAUUGUUUUCCCCCAGAUUGGUUUUUUUUUUAUUUGAGCUGUACGUCUUAAUUUGAAUAUUUAUGUACCUGAAGGCAUCUGUGAGUUUUGUUUGUAUUAAAACGUCCUUCAAGUCCAACCUGUGCAGGUUGUACAGUUCAGAUAGAUAAACCAGAAAUAAUAGGUGGUGAUUCUCUUAAGUCAAAAACACUAACAAUCUCUGGCUCUAGAAAUACCAGCUCUUAGUUGGAGCUCAGGAAUGAAAGGUUGACCCGGACCAUCCCAGCCCUCAAAUUAUCUGAGUUCUACAUCCCGAGGUCCCACAAUGCCCGUGGACUUCUUUAACCGUCCAGCUGAUCCCUCAAACUCUACGUGGCCAAAAGUGAAAUAAUCUACAUCUGGGAGGGAUUCUAGCAUUCAUUUAUUACUAAUUUAUUAAAAAUACAAAUGAAGGGGCGCCUGGGUGGCUCAGUUGGUUAAGCCUCUGCCUUCGGCGUGGGUCAUGACCUCAGGGUCCUGGAGUUGACCCCAUGUCAGGCCCCCUGCUCAGCAGAGCCUGCUUCUCCUUCUCCUGUCCCUCCGCCUUGCUUGUGUUCUGUCUCUUACAAAUAAAAUCUUAAAAAAAUAAUACAAAUGAAAAUUCCUGGCAUUAACAGAAAUGAAGAAAAAUAGCAAAAAUAUAACAAACAAUGCUGAAAAGACAAAACAUAAAAUUUGGCAAAUUAUGGCCAAAUUGAACGUAACUUAUUCCAAAUUGAAAAGAGCUUCAGAGCAAUUGUACACAACAUCCCUUCUCAAAAGUGUUAUGUGUGGCUGAAGUCAAGUACAGAAAAUUCUGGGGGAGAAAAAGAAAAACCAUUGGAACUACAGAGAGUCCCUAUCAUGCUAUGAAUAACGAGAUGUCAGGAUCACUUUUUUCUUUGAAGUGAUGAAGAUUUCAGAAGAGC